UGGAGGACUGAGAAAGUUAAGCAGAAUGUUUAGUGCUGCAUUAACUGGUUAUAACCUCCUAAAAAAAUUACAGGCUUUGUGGUACAUUGUGUUUUCAUUAUCAGUGUUACUGCAAUACUUGCAUACAUUUA